GAUGAACGCUGGCGGCGUGCCUAACACAUGCAAGUCGAGCGAGAAGCUCAUGACGGAAUCUUCGGAGGACGGAUUGAGUGGAAAGCGGCGGACGGGUGAGUAACGCGUGGGUAACCUGCCCUGUACAGAGGAAUAGCCAUUGGAAACGAUGAUUAAUGCCUCAUAAGACUACAGUAUCGCAUGAUACAGUAGCCAAAACUCCGGUGGUACAGGAUGGACCCGCGUUAGAUUAGCUAGUUGGUAAGGUAACGGCUUACCAAGGCGACGAUCUAUAGCCGACCUGAGAGGGUGAUCGGCCACACUGGAACUGAGACACGGUCCAGACUCCUACGGGAGGCAGCAGUGGGGAAUAUUGCACAAUGGGCGAAAGCCUGAUGCAGCAACGCCGCGUGAGCGAAGAAGGUCUUCGGAUCGUAAGGCUCUGUCCUAUGGGAAGAACACAAUGACGGUACCAUAGGAGGAAGCCCCGGCUAACUACGUGCCAGCAGCCGCGGUAAUACGUAGGGGGCAAGCGUUAUCCGGAAUCACUGGGCGUAAAGGGUGCGUAGGCGGUUUCUCAAGCCAGAAGUGAAAGGCAAUGGCUCA
rnacentral:rRNA from 1 species